GGAAAGUAGAUGACUGAGUGCACUGAUAUCGGAGCUUCAUAGUUGGUGCAAUAACAAGUGAGGAAUUCUGGGAGCGCUGUGAAGUGGGGGUCACUGAAGGAGGCCAUCCAGACGCCAGAGCGCAGCUGGAAGCCGAGGAGGACGUGUGCGUGUCUAUCAGGGAAACAUCGAAGGACGAUGGGGAAAAGUCUUGCUUGCUCCAGCAGAGAUGGUGUUUGUUUACGCGUCCACCAUCGCCGCCACGCCAGGCUCAGACCAUCAGCGUGUCCUUACGAGCGAAGAACAUGGGAUGCGUGUGGGGGAUGACGGACGGCAUAGUUACUACCACCUACUGUGACGGGACUCCGUGGUAUAAAACUGUUACUGCUAUUUCGCCUUCAAGUAGCGUUACCCUUUUAAAGAAAUGUUCGUGGACGCCGACUACUUAGACCGCGAUAGAUGGAUGAAUGAGUCUUCGCGAUCUACUGACGAAGAAAGAGAAAAAAGACGUCUUACUGACGAAGAAAGAAAGAGGUCGUCGCUUGCAAACGCGAUUUUUGCACAAACAUUGAUUGAGAGUUGUUACUCAAGAUUCAAUCGAAGUCACUACUAAUUUAACAACAAUAAAAAUAUCUAACCUC